rnacentral:rRNA from 1 species
GACGAACGCUGGCGGCGUGCUUAACACAUGCAAGUCGAACGGAAAGGCCCUGCUUUUGUGGGGUGCUCGAGUGGCGAACGGGUGAGUAACACGUGAGUAACCUGCCCUUGACUUUGGGAUAACUUCAGGAAACUGGGGCUAAUACCGGAUAGGAGCUCCUGCUGCAUGGUGGGGGUUGGAACGUUUCGGCGGUUGGGGAUGGACUCGCGGCUUAUCAGCUUGUUGGUGGGGUAGUGGCUUACCAAGGCUUUGACGGGUAGCCGGCCUGAGAGGGUGACCGGCCACAUUGGGACUGAGAUACGGCCCAGACUCCUACGGGGGGCAGCAGUGGGGAAUAUUGCACAAUGGGCGGAAGCCUGAUGCAGCAACGCCGCGUGCGGGAUGACGGCCUGCGGGUUGUAAACCGCUUUCGCCUGUGACGAAGCGUGAGUGACGGUAAUGGGUAAAGAAGCACCGGCUAACUACGUG